UAAGCACAUAUUCCACAUGCCUA
rnacentral:siRNA from 1 species